AACGAACGCUGGCGGCAGGCUUAACACAUGCAAGUCGAGCGAGACCUUCGGGUCUAGCGGCGGACGGGUGAGUAACGCGUGGGAACGUGCCCUUCUCUACGGAAUAGCCCCGGGAAACUGGGAGUAAUACCGUAUACGCCCUUUGGGGGAAAGAUUUAUCGGAGAAGGAUCGGCCCGCGUUGUAUUAGGUAGUUGGUGGGGUAAUGGCCCACCAAGCCGACGAUCCAUAGCUGGUUUGAGAGGAUGAUCAGCCACACUGGGACUGAGACACGGCCCAGACUCCUACGGGAGGCAGCAGUGGGGAAUCUUAGACAAUGGGGGCAACCCUGAUCUAGCCAUGCCGCGUGAGUGAUGAAGGCCUUAGGGUUGUAAAGCUCUUUCAGCUGGGAAGAUAAUGACGGUACCAGCAGAAGAAGCCCCGGCUAACUCCGUG
rnacentral:rRNA from 1 species